UUAAAUUGAAGAGUUUGAUCAUGGCUCAGAUUGAACGCUGGCGGCAGGCCUAACACAUGCAAGUCGAACGGUAACAGGAAGCAGCUUGCUGCUUCGCUGACGAGUGGCGGACGGGUGAGUAAUGUCUGGGAAACUGCCUGAUGGAGGGGGAUAACUACUGGAAACGGUAGCUAAUACCGCAUAAUGUCGCAAGACCAAAGAGGGGGACCUUCGGGCCUCUUACCAUCGGAUGUGCCCAGAUGGGAUUAGCUUGUUGGUGGGGUAACGGCUCACCAAGGCGACGAUCCCUAGCUGGUCUGAGAGGAUGACCAGCCACACUGGAACUGAGACACGGUCCAGACUCCUACGGGAGGCAGCAGUGGGGAAUAUUGCACAAUGGGCGCAAGCCUGAUGCAGCCAUGCCGCGUGUAUGAAGAAGGCCUUCGGGUUGUAAAGUACUUUCAGCGGGGAGGAAGGGAGUAAAGUUAAUACCUUUGCUCAUUGACGUUAUCCGCAGAAGAAGCACCGGCUAACUCCGUGCCAGCAGCCGCGGUAAUACGGAGGGUGCAAGCGUUAAUCGGAAUUACUGGGCGUAAAGCGCACGCAGGCGGUUUGUUAAGUCAGAUGUGAAAUCCCCGGGCUCAACCUGGGAACUGCAUCUGAUACUGGCAAGCUUGAGUCUCGUAGAGGGGGGUAGAAUUCCAGGUGUAGCGGUGAAAUGCGUAGAGAUCUGGAGGAAUACCGGUGGCGAAGGCGGCCCCCUGGACGAAGACUGACGCUCAGGUGCGAAAGCGUGGGGAGCAAACAGGAUUAGAUACCCUGGUAGUCCACGCCGUAAACGAUGUCGACUUGGAGGUUGUGCCCUUGAGGCAUGGCUUCCGGAGCUAACGCGUUAAGUCGACCGCCUGGGGAGUACGGCCGCAAGGUUAAAACUCAAAUGAAUUGACGGGGGCCCGCACAAGCGGUGGAGCAUGUGGUUUAAUUCGAUGCAACGCGAAGAACCUUACCUGGUCUUGACAUCCACGGAAGUUUUCAGAGAUGAGAAUGUGCCUUCGGGAACCGUGAGACAGGUGCUGCAUGGCUGUCGUCAGCUCGUGUUGUGAAAUGUUGGGUUAAGUCCCGCAACGAGCGCAACCCUUAUCCUUUGUUGCCAGCGGUCCGGCCGGGAACUCAAAGGAGACUGCCAGUGAUAAACUGGAGGAAGGUGGGGAUGACGUCAAGUCAUCAUGGCCCUUACGACCAGGGCUACACACGUGCUACAAUGGCGCAUACAAAGAGAAGCGACCUCGCGAGAGCAAGCGGACCUCAUAAAGUGCGUCGUAGUCCGGAUUGGAGUCUGCAACUCGACUCCAUGAAGUCGGAAUCGCUAGUAAUCGUGGAUCAGAAUGCCACGGUGAAUACGUUCCCGGGCCUUGUACACACCGCCCGUCACACCAUGGGAGUGGGUUGCAAAAGAAGUAGGUAGCUUAACCUUCGGGAGGGCGCUUACCACUUUGUGAUUCAUGACUGGGGUGAAGUCGUAACAAGGUAACCGUAGGGGAACCUGCGGUUGGAUCACCUCCUUA
rnacentral:rRNA from 1 species